rnacentral:rRNA from 1 species
CCUACGGGGGGCUGCAGUGGGGAAUAUUGGACAAUGGGCGAAAGCCUGAUCCAGCCAUGCCGCGUGUGUGAAGAAGGCCUUCGGGUUGUAAAGCACUUUCAGUGGGGAAGAAAGCCUUGGGGCUAAUACCCUCGAGGAAGGACAUCACCCACAGAAGAAGCACCGGCUAACUCCGUGCCAGCAGCCGCGGUAAUACGGAGGGUGCGAGCGUUAAUCGGAAUUACUGGGCGUAAAGCGCGCGUAGGCGGUCUGAUAAGCCGGUUGUGAAAGCCCCGGGCUCAACCCGGGAACGGCAUCCGGAACUGUCAGGCUAGAGUGCAGGAGAGGAAGGUAGAAUUCCCGGUGUAGCGGUGAAAUGCGUAGAGAUCGGGAGGAAUACCAGUGGCGAAGGCGGCCUUCUGGACUGACACUGACGCCGAGGUGCGAAAGCGUGGGUAGCAAACAGGAUUAGAUACCCUAGUAGUC